AAAUAAUUAUUCUGCUGACAAAAAUGAAAUAAAAUGCAUUGAAUCAUGAGGAUUAUGAUGUUUACUUUUAUUUCUUCUUUCUGCCUUGUAUUUAUCUCUUGGAUGCAUUUUUUGUGUUGUACGUGUUUUUGCUUGGAGCAUUCUUAGAUAUGGUCUGCCACCAUCUUUUUUGUCUGCUGUAUUAUCACCACCCGUGAAAAGUGAAAAGGAAGUGCCUUCCGUCUUGGCAUCUAGGAAGGUUUGUGUGACAGUUCAACCAGCACCCACUGGAAAACUGAAGAUGAAGGACCAGUUGUGGUUUUGGGGCUGAUGCUGGUGCACAUCCUUAUGUUACCUUCACCGUCAAUCUGAUUUAAAUCAAGUCACUUUUCAUGGCAGUCAACGUCGAAUACCUUGUUUUAUUUCUUCGGCUUUCAAGAAUUAGGACUG